rnacentral:rRNA from 1 species
AGAGUUUGAUCCUGGCUCAGGACGAACGCUGGCGGCGUGCUUAACACAUGCAAGUCGAAUGGUGAAGUCCCUUCGGGGGCGGAUCAGUGGCGAACGGGUGAGUAACACGUGGGCAAUCUGCCCCUCACUGUGGGAUAACUCCGGGAAACCGGGGCUAAUACCGCAUAUGAAGCCUGGCGGCAUCGCCGGGUUUGGAAAGUUUUUCGGUGAGGGAUGAGCCCGCGGCCUAUCAGCUUGUUGGUGAGGUAAUGGCUCACCAAGGCGACGACGGGUAGCCGGCCUGAGAGGGCGACCGGCCACACUGGGACUGAGACACGGCCCAGACUCCUACGGGAGGCAGCAGUGGGGAAUAUUGGGCAAUGGGCGAAAGCCUGACCCAGCGACGCCGCG